rnacentral:rRNA from 1 species
CACGUAGGGCGCGAGCGUUGUCCGGAAUUAUUGGGCGUAAAGGGCGCGUAGGCGGUGCGGUAAGUCUGCGGUGAAAUCUCCCGGCGUCAACUGGGAGGCUGCCGUGGAAACUGCCGUGCUUGAGUGUGGGAGAGGAGAGUGGAAUUCCCGGUGUAGCGGAUGAAAUGCGCAGAUGAUCGGGAAAACACCCGUGGCGGAAGGCGGCUCUCUGGGACGGUACUGACGCUGAAGACGCGGAAAGCGUAGGGGAGGCGAACAGGAUUAGACUACCGAGUCAGUC